rnacentral:rRNA from 1 species
UACGUAGGGGGCUAGCGUUGUCCGGAAUCAUUGGGCGUAAAGAGCGCGUAGGCGGCUGGAGUAGUCCGGUGUGAAAUCCACAGGCUUAACCUGUGAAUGCCGCUGGAAACUGUCUGGCUAGAGUCCGGAAGGGGCGAGUGGAAUUCCUGGUGUAGCGGUGAAAUGCGCAGAUAUCAGGAGGAACACCGAUGGCGAAGGCAGGUCACUGGGCCGCAACUGACGCUGAGGAGCGAAAGCAUGGGGAGCGAACAGG